UGGAACGGGUGUGUUGGUUCCUCCUCCCGGGUCGUUGUCCCGGUUCCUGACGCCGCCUUGGAGCCCUAGAAGGGAUAGUGCUGCCCCAGCUUGAGGGCACGAGAACACACUCAACUCUUCAUAGCAUUCUACAGAUGGAAAGUAGAAGGCAACCACUUCCUUCAGGACAGGAAGUUUGGCCCAGUGUUGGGGAGUUCCUGGGGUUGCUGUUGUUUCAACCUGCAUCAUGGUGCUACUCAGUUUCUGGAUUUGCUGUAAUAAUGACCCAGGUAACUGUGCUGCUGAUUCAUCCUGUAGUAUUUCCUGUACCACUACCUAGAGAUAAAGUGAACAUCACAACUCAAUUCUGUUUAA